UUGAGCUAAUUUCCUAUGCUGUUGUAUUCUAGGAUACUUGUUCUCAAAAACAGUAUAACGUUAAAUCGGUUUUAUUGCUCUGAAAGGGGAUAAAAGUGCAACGCUCAUGACGGACCGUCUUAAAUAAAUUCGUCUUAAUGACGGCGACGGAAAAGAGCACGUGACUUUCUGUAAAGUAUCAUUAGCAUUAUUCCCAGACCUACGUGUUUUGUCAUAAAAUAGGCAUAAAGCAAGGCAUAAAGUUGGAAUUGUAUAUUUAAGUUUCGCUUUUAAGUGUUUCAUAUUGAGGACUUAUCAAGUUUCGGUUGAAUAAUUGGUGUCGGUGUGCAUACAAACUGAUACGUUAUUAAAUGUCACAAGUAGAAGGUUAUUUGUUGAACAAUUGUUCGUUUUUUAGCUGCAUUUUGGAGAAGACCAUUUACCUACCUACAAGAGCCCACAGGAAGAGCAAGCAAACGUUCCUGAUUGACGCAUCGUUACAUCUAUACACUGUGGUUCCAUCCACCCUUAGCCAGAUCCUUCCAAGCUGACGCCACUCACAGAGAUAGUCAACGAGCCGCCAACGAACAAUGCCCCCAGGAUAGCACAUCAUCGAAAUGCCAACUCCAGGAGCAGCAGCAGUCGCCGACAUGAUGUAGGAGGGAAAAUUGAUCAGCAGUGUUCGGUGCUUGCUGAAGAGUACAGUGACCUCAUUAAGCAUUAUUUGGCACAGUGAGGCUGAUACAGCCUUUGCUCCCGGGUGUAGCCCACGAUGCAGCUCCACAGGCUGACCUGAUGUGGAGAAUCAUUGCCUACAGCGUCGUUCAUCGGGAUGCGUGGACGGAACACUGGAGCACGCAGCCGCUGUCCUAACGAUCCCGCUCUCCGCCAUCUGGCUGCUCCAGCGGUAGCUACGUGCGACUGUCAGCUGACCGCUGCAUAGCCCCGCACAGGCCGUAGUAGCAGGGAUCGAGCCGGCUCCGGUCGCCGCCCAGCAAACUAUUCUGCCGGCCAAGGUCCUCACCGAGUUGUACGGCGCACGCUCUCUAAAAGAGUGGCCCAUUUAGGACAUGAUAGAAAAGGAGCGACAAGAUCGGCCGCAGUGUCCGGUAGGCCGGCGAGGCCGAGUCGCUCCGCCGAUCGAGCAACUGCUGACGCCUUUGAAUCGAGGCAGCUCCUGGCUGGAGGCGCUGCGGCCCAAGUGUAGCGCCUGACGGCUGACGGCAGCACAAUACAGCUGCAAUGGGCCCCAGCCCACUGUGGACUCGCCGACAACGAGAGGGCGGACGCCCUGGCCAAGGAAGCGGCCGGGCUGUCCCAGCAGAUGACCCCGGUUGACGUCCGCACCCUCACGCAGGUCGUUGCGCGGUCCACCAAGAAGAGGUGGCAGGCGGACUGGCCAGCUGGCUGGUAUCGCACCGUCAUGGGGGACCACGACCCACGACAUCCAAUGCGGCCUUGGCCACCGGCUACAUGGCCCACAAGGGUCGUGUAUCGGCUAAACGCUACCGCGUGUACUUUUCUGUCAUCAUUUUGACGAACACCCAGACCGCACAAGGGACACUGCAUGAUGAUCCAGUUUAGCAACCAAGAGCUCAGUAGCCGUCAGCGCCAUAUGAAUGGAAUGCCAUCCCGCUCCAUCCUUCUUCCCAUUUUCAUCCUACCGCCAUCGGUGGUGGAAGACUAUGACAUGCACCAGCACUUAUCCGCGGACAUCCAACAGCUCUGUGUAAGCCAUUACAUUGUUGGGCAUAGCCACUGUUGGGCUCUUGCUAUUAUUACAGCGGAUUUCAAGGAACCUUUUCGAGAAGUGCAAUAAGUGCUCGACCAUUGGCGGGUCGGUGAGCCGUGUGACGCGGGAAAGCAUAUACUCUCUAGCACAUCUUUUUCGAGUGCCCUGUCUUCAUGGUGACUGAUUGGGGAAAAACGGCACCUCUUCCACCCGAACAAGUACCCAACAGCUCUUCCCGGGAUUGGGCGGUUCAACAGUGAGCCAGUUUUCUCGAAAAAAAAAAAUCGCACAGCUAAUUGAUAAAGCGUCCGCGAGUGAAUCCUGCAUUGUUGUUAGCUCUGUUGUUUGCUUUGCUGUUUGUCAUGUGAAAAUGCUACAUCGUGCAGCUAACCGAUGAGUGGGUACCUACUGGUUGAUGAGCUGGAUUUUUUUUUUCGGUGCUGAAGAACUAUCAGCUAUGUAUACCUAAGUGUGCUCAGUCUGAUCUGCAAUACAUAUAUUUUACAAUG